rnacentral:misc_RNA from 1 species
GAAAUGCGAUAAGUAAUGUGAAUUGCAGAAUUCAGUGAAUCAUCUAAUCUUUGAACGCACCUUGCGCUCCUUGGUAUUCCUUGGAGCAUGCCUGUUUGAGUAUCAUGAAAUCUUCAAAGUAAAUCUUUUGUUAACUCAAUUGGUUUCUACUUUGGUAUUGGAGGUCUUUGCAGCUUCACACCUGCUCCUCUUUGUUCAUUAGCUGGAUCUCAGUGUUAUGCUUGGUUCCACUCGGCGUGAUAAGUUAUCUAUCGCUGAGGACACUGUAAAAGGUGGCAAAGGUAAAUGCAGAUGAACCGCUUCUAAUAGUCCAUUGACUUGGACAAUACUUUUAUGAUCUGAUCUCAAAUCAGGUAGGACUACCCGCUGAACUUAAGC